GUGGGUAUAACUCAAGGGGUAGAGCCCAUGCUUAGCAUGCAUGAGGCCCUGGGUUCAAUCCCCAGUACCUCCU
rnacentral:tRNA from 1 species